GGGUUGUGAGGUUAAGCGACUAAGCGUACACGGUGGAUGCCCUGGCAGUCAGAGGCGAUGAAGGACGUGCUAAUCUGCGAAAAGCGCCGGCGAGGUGAUAUGAACCUUUGACCCGGCGAUGUCCGAAUGGGGAAACCCAGUGUGAUUCGUCACACUAUCGUUAACUGAAUACAUAGGUUAACGAGGCGAACCGGGGGAACUGAAACAUCUAAGUACCCCGAGGAAAAGAAAUCAACCGAGAUUCCCCCAGUAGCGGCGAGCGAACGGGGAGCAGCCCAGAGUCUGAAUCAGCUUGUGUGUUAGUGGAAGCGUCUGGAAAGUCGCACGGUACAGGGUGACAGUCCCGUACACGAAAAUGCACAGGUUGUGAACUCGAAGAGUAGGGCGGGACACGUGGUAUCCUGUCUGAAUAUGGGGGGACCAUCCUCCAAGGCUAAAUACUCCUGACUGACCGAUAGUGAACCAGUACCGUGAGGGAAAGGCGAAAAGAACCCCGGCGAGGGGAGUGAAAUAGAACCUGAAACCGUGUACGUACAAGCAGUGGGAGCACCUUCGUGGUGUGACUGCGUACCUUUUGUAUAAUGGGUCAGCGACUUAUAUUCUGUAGCAAGGUUAACCGUAUAGGGGAGCCGAAGGGAAACCGAGUCUUAACUGGGCGUUAAGUUGCAGGGUAUAGACCCGAAACCCGGUGAUCUAGCCAUGGGCAGGUUGAAGGUUGGGUAACACUAACUGGAGGACCGAACCGACUAAUGUUGAAAAAUUAGCGGAUGACUUGUGGCUGGGGGUGAAAGGCCAAUCAAACCGGGAGAUAGCUGGUUCUCCCCGAAAGCUAUUUAGGUAGCGCCUCGUGAACUCAUCUUCGGGGGUAGAGCACUGUUUCGGCUAGGGGGCCAUCCCGGCUUACCAACCCGAUGCAAACUACGAAUACCGAAGAAUGUUAUCACGGGAGACACACGGCGGGUGCUAACGUCCGUCGUGAAGAGGGAAACAACCCAGACCGCCAGCUAAGGUCCCAAAGUCAUGGUUAAGUGGGAAACGAUGUGGGAAGGCACAGACAGCCAGGAUGUUGGCUUAGAAGCAGCCAUCAUUUAAAGAAAGCGUAAUAGCUCACUGGUCGAGUCGGCCUGCGCGGAAGAUGUAACGGGGCUAAACCAUGCACCGAAGCUGCGGCAGCGACACUAUGUGUUGUUGGGUAGGGGAGCGUUCUGUAAGCCGUUGAAGGUGUGCUGUGAGGCAUGCUGGAGGUAUCAGAAGUGCGAAUGCUGACAUAAGUAACGAUAAAGCGGGUGAAAAGCCCGCUCGCCGGAAGACCAAGGGUUCCUGUCCAACGUUAAUCGGGGCAGGGUGAGUCGACCCCUAAGGCGAGGCCGAAAGGCGUAGUCGAUGGGAAACAGGUUAAUAUUCCUGUACUUGGUGUUACUGCGAAGGGGGGACGGAGAAGGCUAUGUUAGCCGGGCGACGGUUGUCCCGGUUUAAGCAUGUAGGCGGAACGAUUAGGUAAAUCCGGUCGUUUUUUAACGCUGAGGUGUGAUGACGAGGCACUACGGUGCUGAAGUAACAAAUGCCCUGCUUCCAGGAAAAGCCUCUAAGCAUCAGGUAACAUCAAAUCGUACCCCAAACCGACACAGGUGGUCAGGUAGAGAAUACCAAGGCGCUUGAGAGAACUCGGGUGAAGGAACUAGGCAAAAUGGUGCCGUAACUUCGGGAGAAGGCACGCUGAUAUGUAGGUGAAGCCCCUGCGGGUGGAGCUGAAAUCAGUCGAAGAUACCAGCUGGCUGCAACUGUUUAUUAAAAACACAGCACUGUGCAAACACGAAAGUGGACGUAUACGGUGUGACGCCUGCCCGGUGCCGGAAGGUUAAUUGAUGGGGUUAGCGGCAACGCGAAGCUCUUGAUCGAAGCCCCGGUAAACGGCGGCCGUAACUAUAACGGUCCUAAGGUAGCGAAAUUCCUUGUCGGGUAAGUUCCGACCUGCACGAAUGGCGUAAUGAUGGCCAGGCUGUCUCCACCCGAGACUCAGUGAAAUUGAACUCGCUGUGAAGAUGCAGUGUACCCGCGGCAAGACGGAAAGACCCCGUGAACCUUUACUAUAGCUUGACACUGAACACUGGUCCUUGAUGUGUAGGAUAGGUGGGAGGCUUUGAAGUGUGGACGCCAGUCUGCAUGGAGCCGUCCUUGAAAUACCACCCUUUAAUGGCUGGUGUUCUAACGUAGACCCGUAAUCCGGGUUGCGGACAGUGUCUGGUGGGUAGUUUGACUGGGGCGGUCUCCUCCCAAAGAGUAACGGAGGAGCACGAAGGUUAGCUAAUCCUGGUCGGACAUCAGGAGGUUAGUGCAAUGGCAUAAGCUAGCUUGACUGCGAGAGUGACGGCUCGAGCAGGUGCGAAAGCAGGUCAUAGUGAUCCGGUGGUUCUGAAUGGAAGGGCCAUCGCUCAACGGAUAAAAGGUACUCCGGGGAUAACAGGCUGAUACCGCCCAAGAGUUCAUAUCGACGGCGGUGUUUGGCACCUCGAUGUCGGCUCAUCACAUCCUGGGGCUGAAGUAGGUCCCAAGGGUAUGGCUGUUCGCCAUUUAAAGUGGUACGCGAGCUGGGUUUAGAACGUCGUGAGACAGUUCGGUCCCUAUCUGCCGUGGGCGCUGGAGAAUUGAGGGGGGCUGCUCCUAGUACGAGAGGACCGGAGUGGACGCAUCACUGGUGUUCGGGUUGUCAUGCCAAUGGCACUGCCCGGUAGCUAAAUGCGGAAAAGAUAAGUGCUGAAAGCAUCUAAGCACGAAACUUGCCCCGAGAUGAGUUCUCCCUGAGACUUUAAGUCUCCUGAAGGAACGUUGAAGACGACGACGUUGAUAGGUCGGGUGUGUAAGCGCAGCGAUGCGUUGAGCUAACCGAUACUAAUGAACCGUGAGGCUUAACCUUACAACGCCGAAG
rnacentral:rRNA from 1 species